rnacentral:rRNA from 1 species
GGUAGAGCCGAGCCGGGAGCGGGGGGAAUACGGGGGGGGGAAGAGUUGGUCGGAAGUACUGGGCGGUAAGGGAGCGUAGGCGGUUCGCUAAGUGGAAUGUGAAAACGCUGGGCUGAACCCAGAGCCUGCAUUCAAUACUGGCGGGCUAGAGUGCUGGAGGGGAUAGCGGAAUUCCUGGUGUAGCGGUGAAAUGCGUAGAUAUCAGGAGGAACACCGGUGGCGAAGGCGGCUAUCUGGACAGAGUCUGACGCUGAGGCGCGAAAGCUAGGGGAGCAAACAGGAUUAGAUACCCGAGUAGUC